rnacentral:ncRNA from 1 species
UAUCCUUUAUCGCCGGGUAAAGGAAUCAAACGUCAGACUUCAUAUCGAUAGGCCAUAGGAGAUAUGAAGAUCUGGCGUUUUUUUUAU